AUUGAACGCUGGCGGAAUGCUUUACACAUGCAAGUCGAACGGUAGAGGGGGGCAACCCCCUUGAGAGUGGCGAACGGGUGAGUAAUAUAUCGGAACGUGCCCAGUCGUGGGGAUAACGUAGCGAAAGUUACGCUAAUACCGCAUACGAUCUAAGGAUGAAAGCGGGGGGAUCGCAAGACCUCGCGCGAUUGGAGCGGCCGAUAUCAGAUUAGGUAGUUGGUGAGGUAAAGGCUCACCAAGCCAACGAUCUGUAGCUGGUCUGAGAGGACGACCAGCCACACUGGAACUGAGACACGGUCCAGACUCCUACGGGAGGCAGCAGUGGGGAAUUUUUGGACAAUGGACGCAAGUCUGAUCCAGCCAUUCCGCGUGCAGGAUGAAGGCCCUCGGGUUGUAACUGCUUUUGUACGAACGAAAGGUUUACUAUUAAUACUAGGAGCUCAUGACGGUACCGUAAGAUAAGCACCGGCUAACUACGUG
rnacentral:rRNA from 1 species